GGCGAACGCUGGCGGCGUGCUUAACACAUGCAAGUCGAACGGAAAGGCCGUGCUUUUGUGGGGUGCUCGGGUGGCGGACGGGUGAGUAACACGUGAGUAACGUGCCCUUGACUUUGGGGUAACUUCAGGAAACUGGGGCUAAUACCGGAUAGGAGCUCCUGCUGCGUGGUGGGGGUUGGAAAGUUUCGGCGGUUGGGGAUGGACUAGCGGCUUAUCAGCUUGUUGGUGGGGUAGUGGCUUACCAAGGCUUUGACGGGUAGCCGGCCUGGGAGGGUGACCGGCCACAUUAGGACUGAGAUACGGCCCAGACUCCUACGGGAGGCAGCAGUGGGGAAUAUUACACAGUGGGAGGAAGCCGGAUGCAGCAACGCCGCGUUCGGGAUGACGUCCUGCGGGUAGUGAACCGCUGUCGCCUGAGACGAAGCGUUAGUGACGGUACCGGGUGAAUAAGCACCGGCUAACUACGUG
rnacentral:rRNA from 1 species